AGGGAUCCAGAGGCAAAGACAUCUACCUGUUUGGGGCAGUGCCAAGGCUCCCACCAGCCCUGGAGCACUUCACAUCCGCUGUCCCAUCCCAAAACCUUGGUGGGCAGAGAAAUAGAGGCGAAAAAUGACUCUUGGAGAAGUUAAGUCACUUGAUCUGGACCACAUAGCAAGUACAGAAUUGGGGUCAGAGUUCCAAAGGCACCUUGCACACAGCCCUAGGAGGAGGUGACCUCCUGUGGUCAUCUGACGCUGACCCUUGGUGAUGGCUCACUGGUUCCCAACCACUUCCAACCUUCCUGCUGUCCUCACUGCUCUAGUCUGGUGGGGCAGUUUCCGGGUUAGCUGGCUGCCUCCUCUACUAACUCCCAGCCACUGACUUCCCAUCAGAGGACCUUCUCUGAGUUGAGACUGUGUGGAAAAGGCUAACAUUCCCUCCAAAAUGUGUGCUCCCUCUUCCAUAGGCCAGAGUGAGCCCUGUGAAGUAGCUGCAUUUCCCAGCCCUCUGCAGUAUAGAGAGAUGGGGGCAUGUCAUUAUUCUUGCCAAUGAUUCUGCCUGGGUGCACAGACUCAAUUCCUGGGGGACAGUGGAGCCACGGGAUGUAAAGGGCCUGCACCCCUGAAUGCCAGAAUGGAGGUGCACUGCCCCCAACCAGGGACAUGGACUGUUAGGUGAGCAAAAAAUAAAUUUUGAUUAGGAUAAGCCACUAAAAUGCUCACCUGUUACAGCAGAUAGCAUUGCCCUAACCCAGUAGUGAGGUGCCAACAAUGGGACACAUUCCGUGAUGUUCCCCAUUCAAUCCUUUGAUCCCCGCAACAGCCCCACAAGGUAUAUAUUAGUACUGUCAUCCUCAUUUUCAGGUAAGGCUCAGGGAGAUUAAGGGAUGCACCCAAGGUCAAACACAACCAGUAGGCAGUAGGCCAGGAUUGAAUCUGGAUGUCUGACUCCAGAGACUUCUGGAGGUUCAGUUACCAGCACACGGUGGAGAUCUUCCUCCACCACCACCACCUAGAGAGAAUGAGCAGGAAACCUCAGAAGAAAUGGCACCCAAAAGAGCCAGAAGUGUCGCCUCAGCCAGCUAAGGUUGGAACCACUUACCAACGCCCAGAAUCACGUCUUUCCAAUCAAACCCAAUGACUGUUCAUCUCUGGGUUUCAGUUUCCUGGUUUGUAAACUCCCAUGAGUAAACAAUCUCUGAUUAUCCCGACCACAGAGAGGGUUCAA
rnacentral:lncRNA from 1 species